rnacentral:rRNA from 1 species
GUGCCAGCCGCCGCGUAAUUCCAGCUCCAAUAGCGUAUAUUAAAGUUGUUGCAGUUAAAAAGCUCGUAGUUGAAACUUGGGCCUGGCUGGCAGGUCCGCCUCACCGCGUGUACUUGUCCGGCCGGGCCUUUCCUUCUGGAGAACCUCAUGCCCUUCACUGGGUGUGUUGGGGAACCAGGACUUUUACUUUGAAAAAAUUAGAGUGUUCAAAGCAGGCCUUUGCUCGAAUACGUUAGCAUGGAAUAAUAGAAUAGGACGUGCGGUCCUAUUUUGUUGGUUUCUAGGACCGCCGUAAUGAUUAAUAGGGACAGUCGGGGGCAUCAGUAUUCAAUUGUCAGAGGUGAAAUUCUUGGAUUUAUUGAAGACUAACUACUGCGAAAGCAUUUUGCCAAGGAUGUUUUCAUUAAUCAGUGAACGAAAGUUAGGGGAUCGAAGACGAUCAGAUACCGUCGUAGUCUUAACCGUAAACUAUGCCGACUAGGGAUCGGGCGAUGUUCUUUUUCUGACUCGCUCGGCACCUUACGAGAAAUCAAAGUUUUUGGGUUCUGGGGGGAGUAUGGUCGCAAGGCUGAAACUUAAAGAAAUUGACGGGAAGGGCACCACCAGGCGUGGAGCCUGCGGCUUAAUUUUGACUCACACGGGGAAACUCACCAGGUCCAGAUGAAAUAAGGAUUGACAGAUUGAGAGCUCUUUUCUUGAUUUUUCAGGUGUGGUGCAUGGCCGUUCUUAGUGGUGGGAGGUGAUUUGUCUGCUUAUUGCGAUACGAACGAGACCUUAACCUGCUAAAUAGCAGGCUAGCUUGGCUGGUCCGCCGGCUUCUUAAGAGGACUUAUCGGCUCAAGGCGGAUGGAAGUUGGAGGCAUAACA